rnacentral:rRNA from 1 species
GACGAACGCUGGCGGCGUGCCUAAUACAUGCAAGUAGGACGCAGUUGCGAACGGGUGAGUAACGCGUAGGUAACUACCUAUUAGAGGGGGAGAACUAUUGGACACGAUAGCUAAUACCGCAUACUAGUAGAUGGACCUGUGUUGUAUUAGCUAGUAGGUAGGGUAAUGGCCUACCUAGGCAACGAUACAUAGCCGACCUUGGAGGGUGGUCGGCCGACCUGGGACUGAGACACGGCCCAGACGCCUUCGGGAGGCAGCCGUAGGGAAUCUUCGGCAAUGGGGGGAAACCUGACCGAGCAACGCCGCGUGAGUGAAGAAGGUUUUCGGAUCGUAAAGCUCUGUUGUUAAGGAAGCGGUACUUAACCAGAAAGGGACGGCUAACUACGUGCCAGCAGCCGCGGUAAUAC